GUGCUCCCUUCGGCAGCAAAUAUACCAAAAUUGGCACAAUACAGAGAAAAUUAGUGUGGCCCCUGUGCAAGGACGACACGCAAAUUUGUGAAGUAUUCCGUGUAUUU
ensembl:snRNA U6 U6 spliceosomal RNA